rnacentral:rRNA from 1 species
UAGGGAAUAUUGCUCAAUGGGCGAAAGCCUGAAGCAGCAACGCCGCGUGCGCGAUGAAGGUCUUCGGAUCGUAAAGCGCUUUUCUGCGAGAUGAGAAAGGACAGUAUCGUAGGAAUAAGUCUCGGCUAACUACGUGCCAGCAGCCGCGGUAACACGUAGGAGGCGAGCGUUAUCCGGAUUCACUGGGCGUAAAGCGCGUGCAGGCGGUUUGGUAAGUUGGGCGUGAGAGCUCCCGGCUCAACUGGGAGAGGUCGUUCAAUACUACCGAACUAGAGAAUAGAAGAGGAAGAUGGAAUUCCCGGUGUAGUGGUGAAAUGCGUAGAUAUCGGGAGGAACACCAGUGGCGAAGGCGAUCUUCUGGUCUAUUUCUGACGCUCAGACGCGACAGCUAGGGUAGUAAACGGGAUUAGAGACCCCGGUAAUCCUAGCCGUAAACGAUGUGAACUUGGCGUCGGUGGCUUAAACACCAUCGGUGCCGAAGCAAACGCGAUAAGUUCACCGCCUGGGGACUACGGCCGCAAGGUUAC